AACUGCUGAACGCUGCUGGAGAAAGUCUCACUUUGCAUCUGACUUUGUCCACUAUAAAUUUAUGCUGCGCUCCUACAGCAUGGCUCUUUCCUCUGCAAAAGUAAGCUACUUCAACACCCUCAUAAGCACACUGUCCCACCAACCCAAACACCUGUUUCACACUUUUGAUGCACUUCUUCGCCCUGUGACUCCCCCUCCUUCCACCACUUUGUCCGCUACAAACUUUGCAUCUCAUUUCACUGAGAAGAUCUCUACAAUCAGG